rnacentral:rRNA from 1 species
UACGAAGGGGGCUAGCGUUGCUCGGAUUUACUGGGCGUAAAGCGCACGUAGGCGGAUUGUUAAGUCAGGGGUGAAAUCCCAGAGCUCAACUCUGGAACUGCCUUUGAUACUGGCAAUCUCGAGUCCGGAAGAGGUGAGUGGAACUCCUAGUGUAGAGGUGGAAUUCGUAGAUAUUAGGAAGAACACCAGUGGCGAAGGCGGCUCACUGGACGUGUAUUGACGCUGAGGUGCGAAAGCGUGGGGAGCAAACAGG